rnacentral:lncRNA from 1 species
UAGCAACACUAAACUCUCAAAACUAUCUUGUCUGAGUCAGUAACAUCAUAAUGGUUGUGACUAUGUGACUAUGUGCUCACAUAGUGAUUGAGAAUAAACUCUGGUUGCUUGGUUUGGGAUAACAUCAGAGUCACUUCUUCUUUAGCUUGUUUUCUGAUAUAUAAAAGAAUGCAGUUGCCUGGGGAUAUAGUUCAGUGUCAUAAGCACCUGCCUGGCAAGUGCAAAGCCAUGAGUUCGAUUCCUGAUGCUAAAAAGAGAAAAACAUAAAGAAUGCAGCUGAACAUAUAUCUCUAUUUCAGCCCUAAACUAAAUAAUGUCCUUACCCAUGCCUCUUUUGAAAUUGCUGCAAGCAACUGCAUUCAUGAAGCCCCUCCGAAUCUGAGCAGGCAGAACUUACUUUGAGAUAACUUCAGCAAGUAUUCUAGGUCUGAAUGUUCUCAAAAAUUGUUCAGGUGCGUAUUGCUUUUCUGACAGUAGUAUCUAUUACCAUUGCUAGCUUCUUUAUGUUAAUUUCAGUUUCUAAAUAAAAGCAGGUUCCUGGUAGACACUUUUUUU